UGCUCUCUCUCAUGGUUUUAUUGUAAGUUGCUGUAAUUUGCUAAGUUAUCAUUCAGACAUAGACGGCACUUUGCUCUGGUUAUUAUUAGUUGUUUGUGUUCCAGGACUUUAUGGGUGAAGUUUUCCCUUCAGCAGCAUCAGCAUACUUCCUCCUGGAGUAUUGAAAAGUAUCCAGGAUUUGGUUGUUUCGCUACAGUAAUAUCCACAUAUCUGAAGCUAAGGUCAGCACAACUCAUGCAGUAAUUGCACAUGCGUUUUAAACACAUGUAACAGUCUGGGAGCUGAGAUCUGGGUAUUUUGAUAAGUUAAUAUGCAGAUUUUGGAUGUCUUUCUACCGUAAGGUCCAUUUCUGGUGCAUUAAUAUCGCGGUUUUGAAUGCUUUUUCCAUUGUUAUCCUGGUUUGUUAAAGUUUUGAUGUGUU
ensembl:lncRNA